UACGUAGGGUGCGAGCGUUAAUCGGAAUUACUGGGCGUAAAGCGUGCGCAGGCGGUUUUGUAAGCCAGAUGUGAAAUCCCCGGGCUUAACCUGGGAAUGGCAUUUGGGACUGCAAAGCUUGAGUGCGGCAGAGGGGACUGGAAUUCCUGGUGUAGCAGUGAAAUGCGUAGAGAUCAGGAGGAAUACCGAUGGCGAAGGCAGGUCCCUGGGCUGACACUGACGCUCAUGCACGAAAGCGUGGGGAGCAAACAGGA
rnacentral:rRNA from 1 species